rnacentral:rRNA from 1 species
AAGGAUCAUUAAUUAUGUUAAAGCGCCUUACCUUAGGGUUUCCUCUGGGGUAAGUGAUUGCUUCUACACUGUGAAAAUUUGGCUGAGAGACUCAGACUGGUCAUGGGUAGACCUAUCUGGGGUUUGAUCGAUGCCACUCCUGGUUUCAGGAGUACCCUUCAUAAUAAACCUAGAAAUUCAGUAUUAUAAAGUUUAAUAAAAAUCAACUUUUAACAAUGGAUCUCUUGGUUCUCGCAUCGAUGAAGAACGUAGCAAAGUGCGAUAACUAGUGUGAAUUGCAUAUUCAGUGAAUCAUCGAGUCUUUGAACGCAGCUUGCACUCUAUGGUUUUUCUAUAGAGUACGCCUGCUUCAGUAUCAUCACAAACCCACACAUAACAUUUGUUUAUGUGGUGAUGGGUCGCAUCGCUGUUUUAUUACAGUGAGCACCUAAAAUGUGUGUGAUUUCCUGUCUGGCUUGCUAGGCAGGAAUAUUACGCUGGUCUCAGGAUCUUUUUUUUUGGUUCGCCCAGGAAGUAAAGUACAAGAGUAUAAUCCAGUAACUUUCAAACUAUGAUCUGAAAGUCAGGUGGGAUUACCCGCUGAACUUAA